rnacentral:rRNA from 1 species
GAUGAACGCUGGCGGCGCGCCUAACACAUGCAAGUCGAACGGCACCUAUCUUCGGAUAGAAGCGAGUGGCGAACGGCUGAGUAACACGUGGAGAACCUGCCCCCUCCCCCGGGAUAGCCGCCCGAAAGGACGGGUAAUACCGGAUACCCCCGGGCGCCGCAUGGCGCCCGGGCUAAAGCCCCGACGGGAGGGGAUGGCUCCGCGGCCCAUCAGGUAGACGGCGGGGUGACGGCCCACCGUGCCGACAACGGGUAGCCGGGUUGAGAGACCGACCGGCCAGAUUGGGACUGAGACACGGCCCAGACUCCUACGGGAGGCAGCAGUGGGGAAUCUUGCGCAAUGGGGGGAACCCUGACGCAGCGACGCCGCGUGCGGGACGGAGGCCUUCGGGUCGUAAACCGCUUUCAGCAGGGAAGAGUCAAGACUGUACCUGCAGAAGAAGCCCCGGCUAACUACGUGCCAGCAGCCGCGGUAAUACGUAGGGGGCGAGCGUUAUCCGGAUUCAUUGGGCGUAAAGCGCGCGUAGGCGGCCCGGCAGGCCGGUGGUCGAAGCGGGGGGCUCAACCCCCCGAAGCCCCCGGAACCUCCGCGGCUUGGGUCCGGUAGGGGAGGGUGGAACACCCGGUGUAGCGGUGGAAUGCGCAGAUAUCGGGUGGAACACCGGUGGCGAAGGCGGCCCUCUGGGCCGAGACCGACGCUGAGGCGCGAAAGCUGGGGG